rnacentral:pre_miRNA from 1 species
CCGUCCAAAAAUACUUGUCAUCAAAAUGGAUAAAAAGAGAUGUAUCUAAAACUAAAAUACGUCUAGAUACAUUUCCUUUUAUCCAUUUUGAUGACAAGUAUUUCCGGACGG